CUCUGCUAUGUUUCAUCAACGAG
rnacentral:siRNA from 1 species